AUUGAACGCUGGCGGCAUGCCUUACACAUGCAAGUCGAACGGUAACGGGCCUUCGGGUGCCGACGAGUGGCGAACGGGUGAGUAAUACAUCGGAACGUGCCCGAUCGUGGGGGAUAACGAGGUGGAAGCUUUGCUAAUACCGCAUACGAUCUACGGAUGAAAGCAGGGGACCGCAAGGCCUUGCGCGGACGGAGCGGCCGAUGGCAGAUUAGGUAGUUGGUGGGAUAAAAGCUUACCAAGCCGACGAUCUGUAGCUGGUCUGAGAGGAUGAUCAGCCACACUGGGACUGAGACACGGCCCAGACUCCUACGGGAGGCAGCAGUGGGGAAUUUUGGACAAUGGGCGCAAGCCUGAUCCAGCCAUGCCGCGUGCAGGAUGAAGGCCUUCGGGUUGUAAACUGCUUUUGUACGGAACGAAAAGCCUUCUUUUAAUACAGGAGGGUCAUGACGGUACCGUAAGAAUAAGCACCGGCUAACUACGUG
rnacentral:rRNA from 1 species